rnacentral:rRNA from 1 species
CGACAGGAGUUUACAACCCGAAGGCCGUCAUCCUCCACGCAGCGUCGCAUUGUCAGGCUUGCGCCCAUUGCAAAUGAUCCUCGACUGCAGCCUCCCGUAGGAGUCUGGGCAGUGUCUCAGUCCCAGUGUGGCUGACCAUCCUCUCAGACCAGCUACCCGUCAUAGCCUUGGUGGGCCGUUACCUCACCAACUAGCUGAUAGGACGCGGGCUCCUCUUCAAGCGCCAGGCCCUUGCGGGUCCCCGGCUUUAAACAACUCCGGAUGCCCGGAGCGAUCACAUUCAGUAUUAGCCCGCCUUUCGGCAGGUUAUACUCAACUUGAAGGCAGAUUGCCCACGCGUUACGCACCCUUCCGCCACUAUCCUCCACAAAUUCUCACCUUGCGGCUUGAACUCGCGGAUUGCUGUUCGACUUGCAUGCCUAAUCCACGCCGCCAGCGUUCGUUCUGAGCCAUGAUCAAACUCUAAUCGAAUUCCCGCGGCCGCCAUGGCGGCCGGGAGCAUGCGACGUCGGGCCCAAUUCGCCCUAUAGUGAGUCGUAUUACAUUYAYGGCCCCCSCSGUU